UGGAGAGAAGAGGCAGGACCACGUCAGAAGAGGUCUUGGGCUAUGACAAGGAGUCUGAACUUGUCCUGGAGGCCAUAGUUUCCCAAAAAGCCCCUGUUAUGGUUUAGAUCUAAAAUGUCUCAUGAAAGUUUCAUGUUCAGAGGUGGGCCUUUUGGAAGAUGUUUGGAUCAUAGGGAUGCUACACAUAGCAGGGGAUAAGUCCACUGGUGAGUUCACAGUUGAAUGUGCUCUUAGGAGCUGAAUCCUUGUGAAAGACAGGUCACUGGGGUGUGAACUAGAAGGAUGUAUCCUUUUCCCUGACUUCUUCCUUCUCUCUUUGGUUCCUAGUUGCCAUGGAUUGAGCAGCUGUUUUCCACCAGGCCCUUCAACCAUGCUAUUUCUGCCUUAGAGUCAACUGACCAUGGACUGAACCCUCAAACUGCCAACACUAGGUCCAGGCCAUCCUAGCAGAAACCUGACAGAGUUCUCCUGAGAAGGCCACGGAGAACGCGCCCAUUUUAAUCAGUGCCACAGGCUCCAUAAGGUGGGGCUGGGGCGAAGAGGGAUGGAGCCGUAACACAGGACCAAACCACAGCUCUCAAGGAGCCCGACGCCUGCACCCUUAUAUACAAGGGAAAGCCCAAGGCUUUGAAGAACCGCUCUCUGCCAGCACCAGAGAAGUCUCACAGAUGUAGGACGAGUCGACUGACUUAGGACAGAAGCUACAUUUUCAGGCCCUUUAACUGCAGGCGGUCAGCCCUUUCCAUGGAGGUUUCAGCAGUGGCAUUGGGAUAGUCCGGAAGCUCGGUGGAUUUGCAAACAGUUGAUUUUGUAGAAAUUCAACGUGAUCAACAGCAGGAUUCUCCCUCCUGCCCUACCCCACCAGGUGCAGAGCACGGUGUUCCUCCAAUGCCUUUGGCCGGUGUCUUCCUCCGUCCUCUUCUUGCGCCUGCUGUUCUGGUUCUGAUUCUGUCGUGAGCUCGUCCUGGUCACUCCUCUCCGAACCCUCCUGGUGUGGACCUGGCUGCAGAACUCUCGGCAGGCGCUUGCUGGUCGGACCAUGUGGCCAAGUUGAGUUGAACAAGG
rnacentral:lncRNA from 1 species